GAAAGAUUAGCAAUCCCCGCAAAGCCCACGUUCUUCGAGGAACAGUGCGCUAAAGACUUAAUCACCAGGAGGAUGAGUCCGCGUCCGAAUCCAAGCUUUCGGUGGGGGGAAUGGCCGGACCAAAAGCGACGAUCGGUAGCCUGGUUCUGAGAAGGAGAUCAAGCCACAACGUGGAAACUGAGACACGGUCCAGACUCCUUACGGGAGGCAGCAGUAGGGAAUAUUGCGCAAUGGGGGAAACCACUGACGCAGCGACGCCGCGUGAGUGAUGAAGGCCUUCGGGUUGUAAAGCUCUGUUCUACAGGAACAAAAAAAUGAGUGUACUGUAGAAGAAAGGACCGGCUAACUCCGUGCCAUGCAGCCGCGGUAAUACGGGGGGUCCUAGCGUUGUUCGGAAUCAUUGGGCGUAAAGCGGGUGUAGGCGGAUUGAUAAGUCAGAAGUGAAAGCCCCAGGCUCAACCCGGGAAGUGCUUUUGAUACUGUCAAUCUUGAGAGUGGGAGAGGGUAGUAGAAUUCCUGGUGUAGUGGUGAAAUACGUAGAUAUCAGGAGGAACACCGGUGGCGAAGGCGGCUGCCUGGCCCAACACUGACGCUCAGACCCGAAAGCGUGUAGCAAACAGGAUUAGAUACCCUGGUAGUCCACGCCGUAAACACUGGACACUUGUUGUUGGAGGUAUUGACCCCUUCAGUGACGGUAGCUAACGCGUUAAGUGUCCCGCCUGGGGAGUACGGCCGCAAGGUUAAAACUCAAAUGAAUUGACGG
rnacentral:rRNA from 1 species